UGUUUUGUUAGCGAUGGUACUCUUGUAUUCUCGCAUCUCCCUAUCCAAUAAAUUAUCAAUUGAUAUACAUAUAUAAUAAUGAAUGCAAUAAUGAAUAAUAAAUAUUACAAUAUCAUGUAAUUAUCUUUUAAUUAGAUACAUUCAUUUUGUAUGUACUGGCCCAUCCAGUGUAGCCUCAUGUGGAAGAUGAACUGAAAGAUGCACUAUGAUAUCAAAGAAAGCGGGAGGGAA
rnacentral:lncRNA from 1 species